UACGUAGGGUGCAAGCGUUGUCCGGAAUUAUUGGGCGUAAAGAGCUCGUAGGCGGCCUGUUGCGUCGGCUGUGAAAACCCGGGGCUCAACUCCGGGCCUGCAGCCGAUACGGGCAGACUAGAGUUCGGCAGGGGAGACUGGAAUUCCUGGUGUAGCGGUGAAAUGCGCAGAUAUCAGGAGGAACACCGGUGGCGAAGGCGGUUCUCUGGGAAUAUCCUGACGCUGAGGAGCGAAAGUGUGGGGAGCGAACAGG
rnacentral:rRNA from 1 species